ACCAGUGUAGUGUAGUGGUUUGACUGUUUGACUAUUGCUAUGGAGACCAGGGUUCAAUUCCCAGCUCGGAUA